AGUGAACGCUGGCGGUAGGCCUAACACAUGCAAGUCGAACGGCAGCACAGUAAGAGCUUGCUCUUACGGGUGGCGAGUGGCGGACGGGUGAGGAAUACAUCGGAAUCUACUUUUUCGUGGGGGAUAACGUAGGGAAACUUACGCUAAUACCGCAUACGACCUACGGGUGAAAGCAGUGGAUCUUCGGACCUUGCGCGAUUGAAUGAGCCGAUGUCGGAUUAGCUAGUUGGCGGGGUAAAGGCCCACCAAGGCGACGAUCCGUAGCUGGUCUGAGAGGAUGAUCAGCCACACUGGAACUGAGACACGGUCCAGGGUCCUGCGGGAGGCAGCAGUGGGGAAUAUUGGACAAUGGGCGCAAGCCUGAUCCAGCCAUACCGCGUGGGUGAAGAAGGCCUUCGGGUUGUAAAGCCCUUUUGUUGGGAAAGAAAAGCAGCAGGUUAAUACCCCGCUGUUCUGACGGUACCCAAAGAAUAAGCACCGGCUAACUUCGUG
rnacentral:rRNA from 1 species